rnacentral:tRNA from 1 species
GGAGAGGUGCCCGAGAGGACAAAGGGCGCCGGUUGGAAACCGGAUGGCCGCAGCGAUGUGGCACCAGAGUUCGAAUCUCUGUCUCUCCGCCA